CGGAGGGCAAUCAGAUUGGGUUAAACCAGAAACUGGAUCCAGGCGAUUGUGAGGAGUUUGACAGCUUUGCACAUAUUACAGUAUCAGUCAGCGUAUUAUUUGUUGUGUUAAUGCAUAAAGCGCAUAAAGAGAUCAGCAGUGCGAGAGCGAUACCGCAGACGCCACUCUGCAGUAUUUUAACAUCAGCUAACAAUGACUUACUUUCCAGUGCAAAACAUUAAUAAACGAAAAUGUCUAUGGAGGUAGAUGUGCUUGUGGGGAACACCACUGUCCUGGAUGAAGAUGUGUACCAGCUGUGGUUGGAUGGACACACACAGUCACAGAUGCGCUGAGAAUACGGAUGGAAACAGGUGCCUUGCAGGAGUGUGAAGCCAAUGCCGAAGUUUUGCAUGGACCAGUUCAGAUCAUUCCAGAUGUGAGAGCGGCUCCUCCAGUCCCCUUCCAAAGUGGCCAAUCAGCUUCUGCUCCAGACCCCUCCUCACUGUCAAACCAUGCUUAUCGAGAGGUCUGUGGUCAUACUAGUUUGCAUCUGUGUUCUAUACUGUUGUUUUUUUAGUUUUAGUUAUUAGUUAGGGCAUCA